rfam:Candidatus Zambryskibacteria bacterium RIFOXYC1_FTLL_39_10 rifoxyc1_full_scaffold_137, whole genome shotgun sequence.
UAAUUUUAGAGUUUGAUCCUAGCUCAGGAUGAACGCUGGCGGCGUGGAUAAGGCAUGCAAGUCAAGGGGGCCCGCAAGGGCAACCGGCGAACGAGGUAGUAACACGUAGGUACGUACCCUUUAGUCUGGAAUAGCCCCGCGAAAGCGGGGGUAACACCGGAUAGUCUCGAAAGAGUAAAAAUUUAUUGCUAAAGGAGCGGCCUGCGGGAUAUCAGCUAGUUGGUAAGGUAAUGGCUUACCAAGGCUAUGACGUCUAGGGGAGCUGAGAGGCUGACCCCCACCGAUGGAACUGAGAAACGGUCCAUACACCUACGGGUGGCUGCAGCCGAGAAUAUUCGACAAUGGGCGAAAGCCUGAUCGAGCGACGCCGCGUGGUUGAUGAAGUCCUUCGGGACGUAAAAACCUUUUAUGAUUAAGAAAGUUUAUUGAUCUGAUCAUGAAUAAGGGGCUCCAAACUCUGUGCCAGCAGGAGCGGUAAUACAGAGGCCCCAAGCGUUAUCCGGAAUCACUGGGCGUAAAGGGUGUGUAGGUGGUUUUGUUAGUCUUUUGUUAAAACCCGCGGCCUAACCGCGGAGGUGCGAAGGAAACGGCAAAACUUAGAGGAUGCGAGAGGUAUAUGGAACUCAUGGAGUAGGGGUGAAAUCCGUUGAUAUCAUGGGGAACACCAAAAGCGAAGGCAAUAUACUGGCGCAUUCCUGACACUGAAACACGAAAGCGUAGGUAGCGAAUGGGAUUAGAUACCCCAGUAGUCUACGCCCUAAACGAUGAUCGCUAGCUUUUCGGAGUAUCGACCCUCUGAGAGGCGAAGCUAACGCGUUAAGCGAUCCGCCUGGGUAUUACGAGCGCAAGCUUAAAACUCAAAGGAAUAGACGGGGACUUGCACAAGCGGUGGAUUAUGCGGUUCAAUUCGAUGACAAACGAAAANNNNNNNNNNNNNNNNNNNNNNNNNNNNNNNNNNNNNNNNNNNGCCGUCGUCAGUUCGUGAUUUGAAUUGUUCCCUUAAGUGGGGUAACGAACGCAACCCUCGUUGGCUGUUACAAGUGUCAGCCGAGACCAUCCCCCACACCAAUUUUGAACAUCUAGAUUUUAUAAAUCUUCUAGAGUGAUCAAAAUAAUUGAGAUAUUCUAAAUCAAAUGGAAUAUUUCGAAAUUGGUGUGGGGGGAGGAAGCGAGGAUGACGCCAGGUCAGCAUGUCCCUUUGACGCCUUGGGCUACACGCAUAAUACAAUGGUCACUACAACAGGUUGCGACAUCGUAAGAUUGAGCUAAUCCUUAGAAAAGUGGCCCCAGUUCGGAUUGGGGGCUGAAACUCGACCCCAUGAAGUUGGAAUCGCUAGUAAUCGCGGGUCAGCUAUACCGCGGUGAAUACGUUCUCAAGUCUUGUACUCACCGCCCGUCAAGUCAGGGAAGUUGGGAGUACCCAAAGGCUCACAUUAGUGGGACUAAGGUAAACUCAAUGACAAGGACUAAGUCGUAACAAGGCACGGCUAGCGGAAGCUGGUCGUGGAAUAUUUCAAGG